rnacentral:tRNA from 1 species
GGGCGUCGAGGUCGUGUUCAGCUUCGGCGCGAGCUCCGAACUCGCCGAGCAGAUCCGGCAGGGCGCACCCGCCGACGUCUUC